AGGAUUGGAUAAAAAUGUCUUGAGUCGAGACACGUAAUGAAGAGUAACAGGGAAAGGACGAGUUUCUGUGUGGAGGUCUGCUUGGAGGCGAUAGAGAGAAAGACCAGGCCGCCAAAGAGAAGAUGAUUCCUUUCUCCCCUUCGCAACAAAAAAGUAGGAAGCAGGAGUUCCCCGUGGCGUGGUGUUCUCGUAGGGAGCAGCUGGGUGGAGCAGCGAAAGGUAGCGGGGCGUUGUUUAGUAAUCGGAUUGCCGGGGACGAGUACGAAAGAAUGGCGAUCGGGGACAAAUGUGUCAGUGGAGUGCGAGGACUGUCACUCCCUGGCCGAGCGUUGGAAUCGAUGAGGAAAUCUUGCGUCUUGCGCUUCGUUUCAUUCUAUAAGGCUUGUUCCCAGAGUGAUGUUCGGGUGUCAUCUUCCCAGCCAAGCACUGUGUUGUCCCCAGACAGGUGUGGACGUGGGCGAGGUCUUCCACGUGUCAUUCAAGGGACGUAAAAUUCCCUAAAGGAUGUUUUCUCCAACACACGAGAGAGAGAAUGGAACUAGACACAAUCCUUGAAGGCCGUCUGCUUUGUAAAGGUUUUCGCUGAAUUUUCAAACCAUAAUUCAGGUGCACGGGACAGUGAUGAAAACACGCUCUGUAUUUCCUGGCCACCUAAGGGUUUCGUUCGUAUUGUGCGGUGACAAAGUAAUCUUGAGAGGCGACCGGAUUGAGUGACACGAGGGGACGGGAGAAGGGAUUGCGGGGCAGGAAGUGAAACUGCUUGAGUCAGAAGAACCGGUUGUCUUCCUCAGCCGGUUCUCGCUGACGGAAUCAGGAAAAUACGUCAGUUUUAUUUUAUCCGUCAUGAAAAUACAGUUGUCUCCUGCCAAACACCUGAAGGCCACACAACACGCAUAACUGAGUGAAAAAAAAAACACAUUCAUUGUCUUUGCUUGUUCUCACAGUGGUCGCCUUUGUCAGCAGCACCACAUACAGUGUACAGGAACAUCUAUGGAGCAUCUACCCGUGACCUCUCUACAUCGGGUCACAUGGGACGAGUUGUACUCAUGGAAGUGUUUAUAUGAGCAAUACCUCCACACCCGCACGCCCACACACUCAGUCUCGCACCUGCACCGUGACUCUCCAACUCUGUGAGCUGCCGGCAAGGGUACAAAACCUCCCAGCUGGAAAAAUGUAAAAAAAAAAAAAAAAAAAAAAAAAAAAUGUACAUA